ACGCUCAAGAUGGACGUCAUGUAGGUCAUGUAUACGCAAUGGGGGAAAAUUGCAAAUAACUUUAAUAAUUCUAUUAAUUUUGCAUAUAUAGGCAUUCUAUUACAGACUCAGACCAAAAGCAAGAAAGUGAUGGCAUCGAUUAGACUGGAUUAGACGAUCACGUUCAACCAUAGUUCAUGUGGAAGAAAUGUGAACAGCGUGUGAAUCUUUGUACAGAUUUGUCAAAACAGUUAACAUUUCUGAAUAGAUUCAACUCAGCCUGCAUUAUGUAUAGGAGACCUAUCAAGACGGCUGUAGGUGAACAUUGUGGUGGAGUCACAGUGACGCGCCCGGGUUAAACAGGGAGUGACAGAAGCACGUUGAUUUAUUGCGAGAAUGCAGUAAAUUGGACAAGGUUAGGAAAUUAAAAACAAAAACAGUUAUUCAUAGAACGAAAUAUUAAACUGUGGAAAUUUUCAUAGUUCCCCAUGUGUUAAUAAUCUUAAUAAAUGUCUAUUUUGAAUAAGGGAAUAAUUAGAAAAUUGUUGAAAAUGUUGAGGAUUUGAAAACUUUUGGGGACAUUCAACACUCUGAUGUAUAUGCACAUUUAAAAAAAUUCAGAGUAUGUGAACAGUGUGUGAAGUAGGGCCCUCCCAGUCCUGUCACUAGGUUAAGUCAUACCUUGUUUAGGCAACCGUAUGGAUUAGAAGUUGUUUUCAACAUUGUAUCCACAAUAACGCUUCUGGUGUUUGUCGUUCACAGAUUGACCACAUCAGUGCCAGCGGUCAUGAAAUCAUACAUAUAACUCUAACACUGUAACCCUACCCUAUGAUGAAGAAACAAAUUAACACAGAGUGUGUACGUGUAUGAAACAAGAUGCAGAAGGUGAAGUCACAUAAAUAUAGUAUAAUUUCCCCAAUAAGACUCAAUGAAAAUGUUGGAGAACUGCUACAAACAGCAUGAAUAUUCUAGCUGUUAUGUAAACAGCACAAUAUGCCAAUAAUGUAUCUUCAGUUGCUCACAGCCUCUAAUUCCUUAUUUUAACAGCAGGUGUGCAGAAGAGGUUGCAUGGCUGUCUGCAACGAUUUCAGCACAGUGCCUUACUCUCCUUCUCCCCCCCCUCCCAUCAACUCACAGUCAACGAGCAAAUAAUUUGGAUUAGAGUGGAUGCUGUUAAUUGAAUCUUGUGUAAAUUAAUUGACUGGAUUAAAAUUAAAACAUUUUAUAAUCUCAUAUAACUUGGAAUACCUGUACUUACAUAUGAUAUUGUAUUAGCUGAGAUGUGUAUGUAUUUAUAUUUUUAUUUUUAUUGGAAACAAAUAUUUAUUUUACAAGUUCUUCUAAAUACUUGUUUAAGGCUUAUGAUAUUGUUAUUUAUUUUAACUGAAAAUGGCUUUUUUAUCCAGUGGCAGUGGUACUAC